rnacentral:rRNA from 1 species
CCUACGGGUGGCAGCAGUGAGGAAUAUUGGUCAAUGGGCGUAAGCCUGAACCAGCCAAGUCGCGUGCAGGACGACGGCCCUACGGGUUGUAAACUUCUUUUGCCGGAGGGCAAACGGCGGCACGCGUACCUGCCUGAGAGUACCCGAAGAAAAAGCAUCGGCUAACUCCGUGCCAGCAGCCGCGGUAAUACGGAGAAUGAGAGCGUAAUCGGGUUUUAUGGGGUUAAAGGGGUGGUUAGGCGGGAUGCAAAGUAAGCGGGAAAAUACGGGCGCUCAACCUGCGUCCGCCGUUGAAACUGGCGUUCUUGAGAGGGCGAGCAGUACGCGGAAUGUGUGGUGUAGCGGUGAAAUGCAUAGAGAUCACGCAGAACCCCGAUUGCGAAGGCAGCGUACCG